CGUGGAUCCGUAAUCCGGGUUGCGGACAGUGUCUGGUGGGUAGUUUGACUGGGGCGGUCUCCUCCUAAAGAGUAACGGAGGAGCACGAAGGUUGGCUAAUCCUGGUCGGACAUCAGGAGGUUAGUGCAAUGGCAUAAGCCAGCUUGACUGCGAGCGUGACGGCGCGAGCAGGUGCGAAAGCAGGUCAUAGUGAUCCGGUGGUUCUGAAUGGAAGGGCCAUCGCUCAACGGAUAAAAGGUACUCCGGGGAUAACAGGCUGAUACCGCCCAAGAGUUCAUAUCGACGGCGGUGUUUGGCACCUCGAUGUCGGCUCAUCACAUCCUGGGGCUGAAGUAGGUCCCAAGGGUAUGGCUGUUCGCCAUUUAAAGUGGUACGCGAGCUGGGUUUAGAACGUCGUGAGACAGUUCGGUCCCUAUCUGCCGUGGGCGCUGGAGAACUGAGGGGGGCUGCUCCUAGUACGAGAGGACCGGAGUGGACGCAUCACUGGUGUUCGGGUUGUCAUGCCAAUGGCACUGCCCGGUAGCUAAAUGCGGAAGAGAUAAGUGCUGAAAGCAUCUAAGCACGAAACUUGCCCCGA
rnacentral:rRNA from 2 species